UGGGGAAUAUUGCACAAUGGGCGAAAGCCUGAUGCAGCGACGCCGCGUGAGGGAUGACGGCCUUCGGGUUGUAAACCUCUUUCAGCAGGGAAGAAGCCACAAGUGACGGUACCUGCAGAAGAAGCGCCGGCUAACUACGUGCCAGCAGCCGCGGUAAUACGUAGGGCGCAAGCGUUGUCCGGAAUUAUUGGGCGUAAAGAGCUCGUAGGCGGUUUGUCGCGUCUGCUGUGAAAGCCCGGGGCUUAACCCCGGGUGUGCAGUGGGUACGGACAGACUAGAGUGCAGUAGGGGAGACUGGAAUUCCUGGUGUAGCGGUGGAAUGCGCAGAUAUCAGGAGGAACACCGAUGGCGAAGGCAGGUCUCUGGGCUGUUACUGACGCUGAGGAGCGAAAGCAUGGGGAGCGAACA
rnacentral:rRNA from 1 species